rnacentral:ncRNA from 1 species
AGAACUGAAUACAUGAAUUGUCGAAUGAGGGAGUAACGUCCUGAAAGGCAUCCUUAAUACUCCGACGUGCGUGGAAGUUGGCAAAGCGGAAGCGUACGAAGCUCGGUGAAGUCGGCAGAAUGGCGCCGUAGCGUAUUAUCGUCGAAACCUGUCCAGAGGUGGGCGGCGCGCCAGAUAUGCCGGAGGUCUAAAA